rnacentral:rRNA from 1 species
UCUCAAAGAUUAAGCCAUGCAUGUCUCAGUGCACGCCUUUAUACGGUGAAACCGCGAAUGGCUCAUUAAAUCAGCUAUGGUUUACUGGACCGUACCCGUUAAAUGGAUAACUGUAAUAACUCUAGAGCUAAUACAUGCAACUAUGCCCUGAACCGAAAGGCAAGGGGUGCACUUAUUAGAUCAGAAGCUAACCGGGCGUCGGUCGCAAGGCCGGUGUCUGUUGUCGUUCUGGUGACUCUGGAUAAUUGUUACAGAUCGCAGUCGGCCAUGAGUCGGCGACGGGUCCUCCAAAUGUCUGCCCUAUCAACUUUCGAUGGUAGGUGACCUGCCUACCAUGGUGAUAACGGGUAACGGGGAAUCAGGGUUCGAUUCCGGAGAGGGAGCCUGAGAAACGGCUACCACUUCCAAGGGAGGCAGCAGGCGCGCAAAUUACCCACUCCCAGCACGGGGAGGUGGUGACGAAAAAUACCGAUGCGGGACUCCUAGACGAGGCUCCGUAAUCGGAAUGAGUCGACUAUAAAUCCUUUAACGAGGAUCAAUUGGAGGGCAAGUCUGGUGCCAGCAGCCG